rfam:Arabis alpina cultivar Pajares Aa.chr1_contig_906, whole genome shotgun sequence.
ACGACCAUACUUGAACAGGAUCUGUUCUGUAGGCUCGUACCUCUGUAUCCUUGACUUUUAUGGAGACAGGCCCUUAACCCCGGUUGAUGAACCAUGACCGUGAUUAACGGCCC